CAACUGACCAAGGCAGGACUGCUCCGAGGUUCACCUGCAAUCCCCACUGGAGAUCCUUGGACUGGGUACUGAUUGUGGCCCCGUGUUAUAGACUGAGAAACUGAGGUCUGAGAGCUUAGGGGCCACACAACUCAUACGUGGUAGAAUCAAGAGUUGAAUCCACAGCUUUAAUUUCUGAGCGAGUGUUCUGCAUUCCUACACUAGGCCAUAAGUGAUUCAAUUUCCAGCCCACUAUAUCAGUCCUCUCUGCUCUGCUCCUUCUGUAAAUAAUACAGUUCAUAUGCCCUAUGCUUUCCGGCCUUCUGGACUGUCUCCUUUACCUGCUCUGCCCCUCAGCUUUACCUCCAACUUUGCCAUUCUACGCUGAUUCUGUGUACACAAAAACACUUCCUACCCUCUCCUGGGCCCCUUUGGUAUUUAGUUCUCCUUCGUUGUUUUUAAAGUACGUCCCCAGAUCAGCAGCUUCAGCAUGAGCUCCUACCUAAGACCUGCUGAAUCAGAAACUGGGCACAGAGCCCGGUGAUCUGUUUUAACAAGCCCUCCAGUGAGUCUGAUGCAUGACAGGCUUGAGAACCACUGGGCUCCCUCCUGCUUCUCUGGACCCCAACAAGUCUUGGCGACAAUUAACGAGCCCACGAAUGCGGGUAGAGGAGGCACUGAGCUGGGACCAGAAGAGCGGAUGGAAUCACUUGCGAAACACUAAUAAAUCUGCUGGCCCAGCUGUUCCUCAUCUGAUGAUUCUGCAGGGAAAGUGUGAAAUGGUAGAGAUGUCCAUGGGCCUGGGGGAGCCCUUCAGAGGCAAACAGUUCUCCCAAAGCCCCUGAAGCUGGGGUGGGAAGCAUCUGGAAAUAUCUGAGGGGCACUCACUGGUGUCAGGAGGCCUGGGCCCCCAGAGGCCGCAUACAUGCAUGGGGUGUGCCUGGGAACACAAGGGGUGGCCAAGUCCCAUCUCCCAGAGCAC
rnacentral:lncRNA from 1 species